rnacentral:rRNA from 1 species
CAGUCGCCGCGGUAAUACGUAUGUCACAAGCGUUAUCCGGAUUUAUUGGGCGUAAAGCGCGUCUAGGUGGUUAUGUAAGUCUGAUGUGAAAAUGCAGGGCUCAACUCUGUAUUGCGUUGGAAACUGUGUAACUAGAGUACUGGAGAGGUAAGCGGAACUACAAGUGUAGAGGUGAAAUUCGUAGAUAUUUGUAGGAAUGCCGAUGGGGAAGCCAGCUUACUGGACAGAUACUGACGCUGAAGCGCGAAAGCGUGGGUAGCAAACAGGAUUAGAUACCCCCGUAGUCCCUGUCUCUUAUACC